GGGACGUUAGCUCAGUCGGUAGAGCAGCGGACUUUUAAUCCGUUGGUCACAAGUUCGAAUCUUGUACGUCCUACCA
rnacentral:tRNA from 1 species